ACGGGAGGCAGCAGUGGGAAUAUUGGGCAAUGGGCGAAAGCCUGACCCAGCAACGCCGCGUGAAGGAAGAAGGUCUUCGGAUUGUAAACUUCUUUUAUGAGGGACGAAGGAAGUGACGGUACCUCAUGAAUAAGCCCCGGCUAACUACGUGCCAGCAGCCGCGGUAAUACGUAGGGGGCGAGCGUUAUCCGGAUUUACUGGGUGUAAAGGGCGCGUAGGCGGGACGGCAAGUCAGGUGUGAAAUCUAUGGGCUUAACCCAUAAACUGCAUUUGAAACUGUCGUUCUUGAGUGCUGGAGAGGUAGACGGAAUUCCUUGUGUAGCGGUGAAAUGCGUAGAUAUAAGGGAGAACACCAGUGGCGAAGGCGGUCUACUGGACAGUAACUGACGCUGAGGCGCGAAAGCGUGGGGAGCAAACAGGAUUAGAUACCCUGGUA
rnacentral:rRNA from 1 species